AAUUUCUGGCUUGGCAAUUUUGGCCCGGUACGGUAACGUACUGUUUGUGCUGACUGUUGCCGGUCAUCCUUCUGGGUUUAACGGGCCGUGCCCUUCACGGGGUUGCGGUUCGCGAACCAGAUCUUUUACUUUGAAAAAAUUAGAGUGUUUAAAGCAGGCGUUUGCUAUGAAUACAUUAGCAUGGAAUAAUAAUUUAGGACUUCGGUUCUAUUUUGUUGGUUUCUAUAACUGAAGUAAUGAUUGAUAGGGAUAGUUGGGGGUGCUAGUAUUGGCCGGCCAGAGGUGAAAUUCUUGGAUUCGGUCAAGACUAACUUAUGCGAAAGCAUU
rnacentral:rRNA from 1 species